UAUCCUGUCUGAAUAUGGGGGGACCAUCCUCCAAGGCUAAAUACUCCUGACUGACCGAUAGUGAACCAGUACCGUGAGGGAAAGGCGAAAAGAACCCCGGCGAGGGGAGUGAAAAAGAACCUGAAACCGUGUACGUACAAGCAGUGGGAGCACAGAGCAAUCUGUGUGACUGCGUACCUUUUGUAUAAUGGGUCAGCGACUUAUAUUCUGUAGCAAGGUUAACCGAAUAGGGGAGCCGAAGGGAAACCGAGUCUUAACUGGGCGUUAAGUUGCAGGGUAUAGACCCGAAACCCGGUGAUCUAGCCAUGGGCAGGUUGAAGGUUGGGUAACACUAACUGGAGGACCGAACCGACUAAUGUUGAAAAAUUAGCGGAUGACUUGUGGCUGGGGGUGAAAGGCCAAUCAAACCGGGAGAUAGCUGGUUCUCCCCGAAAGCUAUUUAGGUAGCGCCUCGUGAAUUCAUCUCCGGGGGUAGAGCACUGUUUCGGCAAGGGGGUCAUCCCGACUUACCAACCCGAUGCAAACUGCGAAUACCGGAGAAUGUUAUCACGGGAGACACACGGCGGGUGCUAACGUCCGUCGUGAAGAGGGAAACAACCCAGACCGCCAGCUAAGGUCCCAAAGUCAUGGUUAAGUGGGAAACGAUGUGGGAAGGCCCAGACAGCCAGGAUGUUGGCUUAGAAGCAGCCAUCAUUUAAAGAAAGCGUAAUAGCUCACUGGUCGAGUCGGCCUGCGCGGAAGAUGUAACGGGGCUAAACCAUGCACCGAAGCUGCGGCAGCGACGCUUAUGCGUUGUUGGGUAGGGGAGCGUUCUGUAAGCCUGCGAAGGUGUGCUGUGAGGCAUGCUGGAGGUAUCAGAAGUGCGAAUGCUGACAUAAGUAACGAUAAAGCGGGUGAAAAGCCCGCUCGCCGGAAGACCAAGGGUUCCUGUCCAACGUUAAUCGGGGCAGGGUGAGUCGACCCCUAAGGCGAGGCCGAAAGGCGUAGUCGAUGGGAAACAGGUUAAUAUUCCUGUACUUGGUGUUACUGCGAAGGGGGGACGGAGAAGGCUAUGUUGGCCGGGCGACGGUUGUCCCGGUUUAAGCGUGUAGGCUGGU
rnacentral:rRNA from 1 species